GAUGAACGCUGGCGGCGUGCCUAAUACAUGCAAGUCGAGCGAACAGACGAGGAGCUUGCUCCUCUGACGUUAGCGGCGGACGGGUGAGUAACACGUAGAUAACCUACCUAUAAGACUGGGAUAACUUCGGGAAACCGGAGCUAAUACCGGAUAAUAUAUUGAACCGCAUGGUUCAAUAGUGAAAGACGGUUUUGCUGUCACUUAUAGAUGGAUCCGCGCCGCAUUAGCUAGUUGGUAAGGUAACGGCCUACCAAGGCGACGAUGCGUAUCCGACCUGAAAGGCUGAGCCGCCCAACUGGACCUGAGCCACCGUCCAGGCCCCUAGGGGAGGAAGCAGUGGCGAAUAUUGGACAAUGGGCGCCAGCCUGGUACAGCCAUACCGCGUGGGUGAAGAAGGCCUUGGGGUUGUAAAGCCCUUUUGUUGGGAAAGAAAAGCAGCAGGUUAAUACACCGCUGUUCUGACCGUACCCAAAGAAUAAACACCGGCUAACUUCGUG
rnacentral:rRNA from 1 species